AACCCAUCCAGUGGCCUUUUGAGAUUCCAGAUUAGCAAUGAGGAAGAGAGAACGGCAAGCAGAACGGCAAGCAGAAAUCACAUUAUUUUGUCAGCAGCUUGAAUUGUUUUCCAAUCAGAUGCUUAACCUGGUUCUUUCUCUGGCAAGCACUGUGCUGUGGGAAUACACUCUUGCAAUUACAGAAAGAAACAACACAGCCAUACUGACAACGAACGGUAGAAACAGAAUGCAAAGGUGGAGAUAACAGUGAAAGGAAACAGGUCACAUACAAAGCUGAAUGUGUUUCUGGAGCUUUCCAGUGCAAGAAGCCAAAAUAGAG